rnacentral:pre_miRNA from 8 species
AGUAUCUGUUCAUGUGACCCGUGGACUUCCCUUUGUCAUCCUAUGCCUGAGAAUAUAUGAAGGGGGCUGGGAAGGCAAAGGGACGUUCAACUGUCAUCACUGGC